rnacentral:rRNA from 1 species
CCUACGGGGGGCAGCAGUGGGGAAUAUUGGACAAUGGGGGCAACCCUGAUCCAGCCAUGCCGCGUGUGUGAAGAAGGCCCUCGGGUUGUAAAGCACUUUCAGUGAGGAAGAACGCCUGGUGGUUAAUACCCAUCAGGAAAGACAUCACUCACAGAAGAAGCACCGGCUAACUCCGUGCCAGCAGCCGCGGUAAUACGGAGGGUGCGAGCGUUAAUCGGAAUUACUGGGCGUAAAGCGCGCGUAGGUGGCUUGAUAAGCCGGUUGUGAAAGCCCCGGGCUCAACCGGGGAACGGCAUCCGGAACUGUCAAGCUAGAGUGCAGGAGAGGAAGGUAGAAUUCCCGGUGUAGCGGUGAAAUGCGUAGAGAUCGGGAGGAAUACCAGUGGCGAAGGCGGCCUUCUGGACUGACACUGACACUGAGGUGCGAAAGCGUGGGUAGCAAACAGGAUUAGAUACCCGAGUAGUC